AACGUAGGACGCGAGCGUUAUCCGGAGUUACUGGGCGUAAAGCGCGUGCAGGCGGUUUUCAAGUGGGAUGUGAAAGCGCUCGGCUUAACCGGGCGAGGCCAUUCCAAACUGGACAACUGGAGGGCAGUAGAGGUGGGUAGAAUUCCGGGUGGAGUGGUGAAAUGCGUAGAGAUCCGGAGGAAUACCAGAGGCGAAGGCGGCCCACUGGGCUGCACCUGACGCUGAGCCGCGAAAGCCAGGGGAGCGAACGGG
rnacentral:rRNA from 1 species